rnacentral:snoRNA from 1 species
ACCCUCUAAAUUCCUUACCCAUCAAAUCUAAACCUUGGUCUCAGUGGUUAUAAAAAGGGAAAAAGUAAUACAGAAACUGAACUAAAUUCUUUGGUGACACCAGCUAGUUAAAAGAUAUAUAUCU